rnacentral:rRNA from 1 species
AUUGAACGCUGGCGGCAUGCCUUACACAUGCAAGUCGAACGGUAACAGGUCUUCGGAUGCUGACGAGUGGCGAACGGGUGAGUAAUACGUCGGAACGUGCCCAGACGUGGGGGAUAACGAGGCGAAAGCUUUGCUAAUACCGCAUACGAUCUAAGGAUGAAAGCAGGGGACCGCAAGGCCUUGCGCGUUUGGAGCGGCCGAUGGCAGAUUAGGUAGUUGGUGGGAUAAAAGCUUACCAAGCCGACGAUCUGUAGCUGGUCUGAGAGGACGACCAGCCACACUGGGACUGAGACACGGCCCAGACUCCUACGGGAGGCAGCAGUGGGGAAUUUUGGACAAUGGGCGAAAGCCUGAUCCAGCAAUGCCGCGUGCAGGAUGAAGGCCUUCGGGUUGUAAACUGCUUUUGUACGGAACGAAAAGGCUCUGGCUAAUACCUGGGGCACAUGACGGUACCGUAAGAAUAAGCACCGGCUAACUACGUG